UACGGAGGGGGCUAGCGUUGUUCGGAAUUACUGGGCGUAAAGCGCACGUAGGCGGCUUUGUAAGUUAGAGGUGAAAGCCCGGGGCUCAACUCCGGAAUUGCCUUUAAGACUGCAUCGCUAGAAUUGUGGAGAGGUAAGUGGAAUUCCGAGUGUAGAGGUGAAAUUCGUAGAUAUUCGGAAGAACACCAGUGGCGAAGGCGACUUACUGGACA
rnacentral:rRNA from 1 species